rnacentral:rRNA from 1 species
UUGAUUAGAGUUUGAUCCUGGCUCAAAACGAACGCUGGCGGCGUGGAUGAGGCAUGCAAGUCGAACGAAGUUCAGGAUGUUAGCAAUAACGACCUGAACUUAGUGGCGAAAGGGUGAGUAACACGUGGGUAACUUACCCUCGACUUCGGGACAACUCGGGGAAACCUGAGCUAAUACCGGAUUCGGCUCAGGAAAGUCAUCUUUCCUGAAUCAAAGGUUUACUGGUCGAGGAGAGGCCCGCGUCCUAUUAGCUUGUUGGUGAGGUAACGGCUCACCAAGGCUGUGAUGGGUAGCCGUGCUGAGAGGUUGUUCGGCCACACUGGGACUGAGACACUGCCCAGACUCCUACGGGAGGCUGCAGUCGAGGAUCUUUGUCAAUGGGCGCAAGCCUGAACAAGCGACGCCGCGUGAGCGAUGAAGGCCUUCGGGUCGUAAAGCUCUUUCAGCAGGGAAGAAUAAAUUGACGGUACCUGCAGAAGAAGCCCCGGCUAAUUACGUGCCAGCAGCCGCGGGUAAUACGUAAGGGGCGAGCGUUUGUUCGGAUUUACUGGGCGUAAAGGGUGCCUAGGCGGCAUGUUAAGUCGGAAGUGAAAUCCUCUGGGUCCAACUGGAGAACUGCUUUUCGAAACUGGCGUGCUUGAGUACGGGAGAGGAGAGCGGAAAUUCUCGGGUGUAGCGGUGGGAAUGGCGUUAGAAUAUCGAGGAAAAAACAUAUCGUGGGCGAAAGGCGGCUCUUCCGGGAACCGAAUACUGACCGCCUGAACCACGUAAUGCCAGGGGGAGCCAUACCGGGGAUUAGAUAACCCCCGGUAGUCCUGGCCCUUAAGGAUGUGGCACUUGGUUUGUAGGGAGUAAUCGAACUCCCUCUUGGUUCCAGAUGCCUAAUGCUCAAUAAAGGUGGCAAACCGCCUGGGGGAGGAGUUACAAGUCCGGCAAGUCUGGGAGACUCUCAAAAGGAAAUUGACCGGGGUCCGACGACUAAGCUGGUGGAACAUAGUGGUCAUCCGGUGCACCCGGAAACCUUACAGGCCUGGCAAUGUCGAC